rnacentral:rRNA from 1 species
UACAGAGGUGGCAAGCGUUGUUCGGAAUUACUGGGCGUAAAGGGCGCGUAGGCGGCCUUCUAAGUCGGACGUGAAAGCCCCAGGCUUAACCUGGGAACUGCGUCCGAUACUGGGAGGCUUGGAUUCGGGAGAGGGAUGUGGAAUUCCAGGUGUAGCGGUGAAAUGCGUAGAUAUCUGGAGGAACACCGGUGGCGAAGGCGGCAUCCUGGACCGAGAUCGACGCUGAGGCGCGAAAGCUAGGGGAG